UACGUAGGGUGCGAGCGUUGUCCGGAAUUACUGGGCGUAAAGGGCUCGUAGGCGGUUUGUCGCGUCGGGAGUGAAAACCUUGGGCUUAACUCAGGGCUUGCUUUCGAUACGGGCAGACUAGAGGUAUGCAGGGGAGAACGGAAUUCCUGGUGUAGCGGUGAAAUGCGCAGAUAUCAGGAGGAACACCGGUGGCGAAGGCGGUUCUCUGGGCAUGAUCUGACGCUGAGGAGCGAAAGUGUGGGGAGCGAACAGG
rnacentral:rRNA from 1 species